rnacentral:rRNA from 1 species
UGCCAGCAGCCGCGGUAAUACGGAGGGUGCGAGCGUUAAUCGGAAUUACUGGGCGUAAAGCGCGCGUAGGUGGUUAUAUAAGCUAGAUGUGAAAGCCCUGGGCUCAACCUGGGAACUGCAUCCGAUACUGGCAGACUAGAGUGCGGGAGAGGGAGGUAGAAUUCCAUGUGUAGCGGUGAAAUGCGUAGAUAUGUGGAGGAAUACCAGUGGCGAAGGCGGCCUCCUGGCUCGACACUGACACUGAGGUGCGAAAGCGUGGGGAGCAAACAGGAUUAGAUA